rnacentral:rRNA from 1 species
GAUGAACGCUGGCGGCGUGCCUAACACAUGCAAGUCGAGCGAACGGACGAGAAGCUUGCUUUUCUGAUGUUAGCGGCGGACGUGUGAGUAACACGUGUAUAACCUACCUAUAAGUCUGGGAUCACUUCGGGAAACCGGAGCUAAUACCGGAUAAUAUUUUGAACCGCAUGGUUCAAAGGUGAAUUACGGCCUUGCUGUCUCUAAUCGCUGCUUCCGCGCUGCAUUAGCUAGUUGGUAAGGUAACGGCUUACCAAGGCAACGAUGCAUAGCCGACCUGAGAGGGUGAUCGGCCACACUGGAACUGAGACACGGUCCAGACUCCUACGGGAGGCAGCAGUAGGGAAUCUUCGGCAAUGGGCGAAAGCCUGACGGAGCAACGCCGCGUGAGUGAUGAAGGUCUUCGGAUCGUAAAACUCUGUUAUUAGGGAAGAACAGAUGUGUAAGUAAAUGAGGAGAUAUUGACGGUACCUGAUCAGAAAGCCACGGCUAACUACGUG